GUAUUUUAAUAUCUGUGCUGAAAAGCUUAGACAGAGAGGUCAUAAAAGUCAUGUGAAUUAAGGUGAGAAGCAAUGAGACUGGAGCAAUAACCACUUCUAACUGCCAUGAAGUGAUCUUUGAAUCUGCCUGAUUGUUUCCUCCAGCAACUGCAGCGGGUUAUUUCCUGUCAAAAAUGCAAUAACUGAUAUUUCAGCAUAUACAUUAUAAACUGUGGGCUUCAUGGCAUGAAUGAAAGAUUUUGAAUGUGAAUAACUAGAAAGAUAAAAUUGAAUGGGAGUUAUGGAUAUUCUUGCCUAGAAGAAAGACAUUAAAGAAGUGCUGUAGUGAUUCAUUCUAGUAUCCCAAUUAACUCACUAAGUAUUUACUAGAUGUGUAUUCACUCAGAUAUUUUUACAAGACAUUUUGAAAUACCUGUGACAGUUUUGAUUAGACUUCCAAGAUGUUUCUAGUUUCAAGUCAAGUGUCAGAGCUAAUGUGCAAUCUGGAUCAUUAAAAAUGGGACUAACUGGUUCACAGAAUGUACGAUGGAUGGUUUCUCAUGACAUUCAAAGCUGCUGCUGCUGUCUGGGUUCAGAUCCAGGCAGACCUGGAGUGUUUAGUUUUGAUAUCUGAAAGCGUGUAUUGUGCGCUGCUUCUUGAUAAAAGCUUUAUAAUUUUAGAUCUCCUCAUACAGGAGUAGUGACGGUGGCUAUCAGAAAAUGUUGCUGUGCCACUGGUGGGACUGUCGAGGUGCAAUUUACAAUUAUUUGUAGCUGAGAAGGCCAAACAAACAAAUGUUGUUGGGCUGGUAAAAAUCUCAUUUAUCAUAGGUUGUGAGACAUGCAGCAGAUAAUUCUACACGGCCAAGUUCCUCCGAAUCCAUAGAGCCAUUGCUGAUUUUUGUGACUGCUUCUAUUCUCAGUUCCUGACAAAUGUGAUUUGAGGUUUGUGCUCUACUCCCUCUGAUGAAAAGCCUGAUGCAAGGUCUCACAAACCUGGGAAACACCUACUACACAUCAAAAACUGGGUUCCUUUGGUCUAAAAGCUGUGGAUGGAAAGACAGAGUGUGUGUGCUGAGGGGCAGUUACUCCCUGUCUCAGAAUGGAAAUCGCCCUUGAGCAACAAGAACAACAUGUACUGAAGAUUCACUGGUAUGUGUGAAAACUCUCAGUUAGAGACUCCUUUUCCUUACAAUGAAUUUCCUGACACAGCACCUGCUAUUGCCUUACGUUACUCUGGAUAUUUUCAUCAGAUACCCAGUAAUCAUCUACUUGCAGAGGAGAUGCUGAUUCUUCCUAACACCAUGUCUUUACCUUCUGCUGUGUUGUCUGUUCUUCAAAAAAUAUUCUUGCACCUGCUGGCCUUCAAAGGAAUGAGAUCCUGUGGCUUUAAAUUCCCAGUCUAUGUGUUUUGAGAAUACAGAAGCAACAUCAUAAAGCUUACAUCAAAGUCCUACACUAGAAGGGAAGAGGAAAGCAGAAGGGAUGCUGUGUUAUCUUUACCAACUAGCUCACUGCAGCUAGCAUUCAGUGGCUUUGCUGUGGCUGGAUUCUGCCACAACUCACCUGCCUGGAAGCCCCACAGUGAAGUUCAAGCCUGUCUGCAAACUGCAAGUGCAAUGGAACUGAAUUAAAAGGUUUUUAAAAGCAUAUGCAGUAUUAAAUGUUAAACACCCCAUGAUUAUCAAGCCUCAAAGUGUGAUAUGAUCCAGAUUCUUCUCUGCCUCAUUUAGUGUCAGAUUAAUGAGAACAUAGGGUGCUGGGUGAGGAUCUUCUGAGCACCAGUCAGCCCAGUUCAUGAAAGAGCUCUUUAUUCUCUGGCAAAAUAGAGAAUCAGACAGAGUUUGGGGUCCUGUGAGGGAAGCAGAGCAUGUACUUGGUGGGAUGAUGAGCAACUUUGAAGGAAUUUUUAUUUUUUAAACUCGGGGUGGGGACCUGUCUUUCAUGUACAGUGGAGGGCAGAAAUGCAACAAGUAGUGGACUACAACACACAAUGCGUAUGUGUCAUGUUAUAGUUUCACUCAGCCUAGAAAAAAUGUUACUGAAAACUAAGCAAACAUUUUCAGGACUGAGUAAAAAGUAUGCUUUAACACAGUGGCUAGGGAGCAGGAAGAGGGAGGAGCAGAGUGAUUUGAACCCAAGAAAGAUGAAUUAGGCAUAGAAAGAAAAUGCACUGUGUGAGUAUUAAUGUUGCACUGAUAGGUACCUAUAAUACGGCUCUGAAGACUUUGUCAGAAAACUGUUUAUUCCAACUAUGCCGGUGGCUAUCUAUCUUCUGAACAGUAAAUGUAUGUCCCCCAUAUACCUGCAGUUGUGACUUACGCACUUAAGUAAAAGAUGGUAACUGUGAUGCAGGACUUUUUGGUUCAUUUUUACAUUAUUUUUGCAGCAUAAAAUUGCCUUAAAGAUUGUGAUAGCAGCUAUGGGACUGUCUUCUGUAGUGGAGGGGUUCUCAGCUAACACAGGCUUUCUGUAACUGCCUCUGUUUCAGCUCCCUCCUUACUGCAAGUAGAAUUGAAAAAAAUUGGAAGCAUAUUUCACAGGUCCAUACUGUAUUGAAUGCAUGCUUCUGUUCACUCUCACCUCAUUUGUAAUCUCCCCAGGCAGAUUAUUUGCACUCACUUUUAUCCUCACAGUUCUCAAAAAUCUACUUAAAGAAUCCAGUCGCUGCAAGACAGACUGUACAGUGCUUGAAACAUCUAGAGAGUUCCAGUGGAAGAGGGACAGGCUGAAGGGAGGGCCGUUGCACUAGCACUAUGCAAACACAGUUUCUGUCUUUACCAGUUUAUAAUGUAAAUAAGGAAUGCUGGAGGAGAAAACAGCUGUACACAGAGGUGAAGGAAGUUGCUCAAGAUGGGAAGGCAGGCCAGCAGAAGAACCAGUUAUAUAUUGCUGUAUUUCACAACAGAGUGCUAUUAUUUUCUGCUGCACCAGAACUUGUACAGAUGCUUACUCCUUUAUGACUUGCUGUAAGAUUUAAUAUAAUACCAUUUCUCCUUCAGUGGACCCAUUCCAAAUCAUCUGCUAGUAUUUCAUUACUGCUGCAUUCUCUAUGCAAAAUUGAGGUAAGUUUUUAUGGAAGUAUUUACAGAAGUGCUGGGAGUUUAAAACUGGAUCUCCAUGCAUUUAGAAGCACGUUCUUUCUUUAUUAAAUCACUAAUAAUAAUGGCCUUAAAAUAUUCUCAGACAUUCUCUGUGACGCCAACAAAGCAAGUCUGACAUUUCCUAAGCUAAAGCCAUUUCAGAGAAUUGAUGAAUUAAAUAAAAUUAAGUUUGAAAUAUUUCCUAAAGCUGUAGUCAGGUAAAUUAUGAAAUGUGAUGGGCCAGGCUCAAUCCUGUGCUUCAAAUUAUUUACAUGAUUGCAGAAAUACAGAAUAGCUGUAUACAUGUUUUUUUACUUUUGCCACACUCACCAUGACUUUUUACUUGUGAUGAGAUGUGUUUUUCCAAAGUUCAGGACUUCUGUUUUUUUAGAAGCUAUAAGAAAGAUUUGAGCCUUGGCUUGUGGCUUUAUGGGAAAGUAGCUUCAACUUUAACCAUGGAAAAGAGAACACUUCACAAUGGGUGUGACCUAACCUACUUAGUCUGUUGGAUAAUUAAAUACAGGGUAAUCUGAACUGGUGGACCAAAGUACCUCCAGACUUACCACACCAUUUCACUUUCCAGUUGCGAUUAGCAUCAACACCAUGACAGGGAAACCUUGUGUUCUUUGAUCUUGUUUUUCUCCAAAAUCGAUCCUAACAUAAGUUAUAAAAUAGUUAAAUAGCAGUAUUUCUACAUUUUGGCAAAAAUCUAUUUGUACACAUAACAAACCAACCCUGGUAAACAUAUUCAGUAUUAUAUUUUAACUGCAGUAAUUUACUUCCAUUUUGCAUGCCACAAAGUGAUGGACCAGUUUAUACAGAAAUUCACAUCUGAAUGAUGUA